UUUUGUACAGCUGCAAGCACACACCAAUAAGUAAAGCUGCAAACACACACCAAUAAGAUUAACAAUGACUAGAUGAAAGACAGUAAGUUUGAAACUAAAUUUUAUGAAAGUGAGUUUUCAGAUUGAUUUGAAUUAGCAGUUGUUAGUAUACAGUAAGCACUUACUAUGUGCUAGUAGCUAUUAUAAGUUACAAGUAAUGAGUUAAUACUAGAAUUAACUCAAUUCUCUAAAUACUUUUUUCAUGGUUUUGUAGAAGCAACCAAUAUGAGAUUUUGUGGGUUAAAUAGCUUCCAUCUGGUCUAGCAGCAAUAAGCUAAUAAAUCACCAAUAGGGGAUUCGAAUAUAGACCAUCUGGCUCUCACUAGUGUCCCCGUUACAUUCUUCUGUUUCUGAAACGAAGAAUGAGGAGUUGGGAGAGAAGAGAGAAAAGUAAUGGUAAAUGAAAAGUCAUCAAGGUAGAAAUAAGUAAGUCAUACACAAGGUGGACCAAUCUUUGUGUAUGGGCUACGAGGCAACAUCUGGGUGAAGAACAAGGUGGAAAUGAGGUUGGGAAGGUAAGCACAUGGGCCAAGUAACUGGAGCAUGAUUUCAAAUGUUUGCCUUACCAUCUACAAGCAUAAUUAAAGAUAAUAACCACAAUCUUGGGGGGAAAUCUUGGUAAGUCCCUUUUACUAGCAGUUCUACAACAGAAAUGCAAAAAAAUAGGAAACUUACUGAUAACCUUGUGAAGCUAAAUCAAUAACUCUCAAAUAAAACAACUCUGUUAUAAAAGGAAUUAUUUCUUUAGCCUAUGUACUAGUUGAGUUAGCCCCUGCACCAACUAAAACAAUUUGUAAAAAUCUUGAAAGUGAUGAAGGUAUAACAUUUACAUUAAUAUAUUUCUUGGUAGAACUGGUUUUAGGAAAGGAAAUAAUUUCAUAUUCUCAUUUCCAGUUUUUCCUAAGAUAUAUAUAUAUUUGCUUAUUUAAUCCAUUAAAAUCCAUUAUAUAUAAUAUAUUUAAUUCAUGUAUAUAUAUUUAUAUAUUAUCCAUUUAAUAUUGGAUAUAUCAUAUAUUUAUAUAUUAUCCAUUUAAUCCAUUAUAUAUAUUUAAUCCAUAAUCCAUUAUAUGUUAUAUAUAUAAAAUCCAUUAUAUAUGUAUAUAUAUUAUAUAUAUAUAUAAUAUAUUCAAUCCACUAAAGCAGAAUUUUUCCAAGGGAGAAACAUAGAAGUAAAUCUACCUUUAUCAAGGUUACUUAAAAAUCUGUUUGGCAUUUGAUCAACUAAGAGUCAAUCACCUGAGUUCUAACUCAUGACGAAAAUCCAGCAGAUUAGUUUGAAACAUUCUGCUAAUGUGAAUCUGAUUUGACAGGAUAUUAACUGCAUUAUCUAGAAUAAUGCUAUUGGUAUUUAUAGAACAUUGGCCAGUACUACAAUUUUCUUAUUAAUUUCUGGAAAAAGCUUUUGAGAUCUUUGGUGUCUGCUGUUUCAAGGACUAAACAAUUAUAUGCAUUAUAAUUCAUGGAGAAUACAUUUUUUUCAUAUUUCUAGGUUGUUUUCUUUGCCUACUGGUGAGCAAAUACCUAUCAGACUCUUUGGCAUCUAUCAAAGUUUUCUGAGUAUCUUAUAACAACAGAGCACAGAUCCAGGAAAAUUUAGACAUUACUAAAUAAACAGCACACAGAUGUGGGUGUUGAAAAAUUAAUAGCACACAAUCUGAUGGGCUGUAGUACCAAAAGGCUUCUACAAAAACAGAAUGAAAUAAACCCAAGCACAAAUACUCAUGUAAUCAUGGCAUAAAUGAAUCAUCAAGUAUCAAAACAGAAGUUUAGAGUCUGGCAACACGUACAGCUUCUAACAAAUGACUCAGCCGCACACAUCAUUCUUCAUGUCACCUCAUUUGUAGAAAGACUAUUAGAAGUAAGAGCAACAUGUUACAUGUCAACAGAAACCAGUUUAGAGAACAAUUUCAGAAUAUUUCAUGAUGUUUGUCAUCCUCCUCAUCAUUCGAAAACGACCUCUUACAUUUUCAAGAUGGGUCCUAACCACUCUCAGAGAAGGUGUUCUAAUAGUCCACCAACUCGUUGUCAUUAUGAAUUAAGGCCACGGGAACCCUAGGAGGUUGCUGCUGACAUCUAGUGGCAUCACUUUUCAAAUGCCAAAUGCAUGAAAAAUACACAACCAGAGAGACAAAGGGGCAAACAUACAGACGUAGGCACAUGCCAAGUCCAGUGGACACCUCAUGUCAUAAACUAUUUGCCUCUGCGCACACUACCCUGAUGCCAGUGAUCUGCUCCCCUUCCAAGUUCACGUUAGUUCUGCAAAACCAAAGAAAUGAAAACUAACACACACGCUAAAGCUUUAAAGGAACCGAUUCCCUCAAAGUCCUUAGUCCUCUACCGGAAAUUGCCAAUUCCCAAGCAGCCCCAAUUUCCAAAAGUCCUGCUACCGCCCCAAUAGUCAAUGAUUCCACUUCAACUUUCUAAAUAACCGUCACCCUUUCCCAACCUUCACAGGCACCCAGGUACUCCUAGGAUCCCAGCCCCGAGAAGCUGCUGCAGAGCUGGGAACGUGUUAUUGCAGACUGCAUAUCCACAAACAUACGGACACAUUCAAAAUGCCCACAAACGUCUUAGGCAUGAGGUUCAACAAUCAUUGCAAGAUUAAAAAUGGCUUUCGGAAAGGGGCAGCUUUGAUGGCUUCCCAGCCCCCGCAUGAAUGAUGAUGAAUAGGACACAGAAGAAAUGGAGCUCGGGAAAAAUGAUAGGAGCACAGAGCAUGCUCCUACAAGCAUGUAAGAGCACUCGUACUGUAGUCCACGUGUGUACAUAAGGUGGGUACGUGUGUGGGCCGAACGGGAGACUCUCCAGUCCUGCCCAGCUAGAGCACCUAUGAACACAGCAGUUCAACACUGAUUGAAUGAAUGAAUACAUGAAUGAAUGAGGUGGCGAGUUACAAUAGGACUUUUUCUUCCUAUUGGUUCUGAUGAGCGCUACGCAGCAGGCAGGAUCUUUAUAAGGCAGGGUUUUACUCAGGCCACAAGAGCCUUAGCUCAGCAGCUCAGCUUAGAACUUUCUUCAACGACACGUGCAAAAUGGCAAAAACCAAUGAGCGACAGAAUUGGGCAAUCCUGACUUGGAGAAGGGAAUGUUUCAAUAGGCGAAAAUUAUUUUCUUUAUGAGUUCAUGUAUUCGAAUUUAGAUUCUAUUCUCAUUGAAAAGAUGUGAUAAAGGGCGAGUAGCUUCUCAUGGUAGUUCUAAAUCAUACAAAACAUAGCCAGAUUAUAACUCUCGUCGUACAGAGGACUCUUUUAGCCUUUAAAUAUGACUUUAGUGCAAAUCGUAGAGAUGCAAGGAGCUCAUUCAUUCAGUUUGUGCACUUGACUCAAAAGUGGAAGUAAAAAUGGUUUGCAGAAGAAUCUUCUUUAUAUUCAUAUUAAAGGAGGGCAGUCCCGGUGGCUCAGCGGUUUAGCAUCGCUUUCAGCCCAGGGCGUGAUCCUAGAGACCCUGGAUCGAGUCCCACGUCGGGCUCCCUGCACGGAGCCUGCUUCUCCCUCUGCCUGUGUCUCUGCCUCUCUCUCUCUUUCUCUCUCUGUCUCUCAUGAAUAAAUAAAUAAAAAUCUAAAUAUAUAUACAUAUAUAUUCAUAUUAAAGGAAAGAAAUCCCAUGUCAAUGUAUGUACCUUUAUAUAUAAUAAAACAAAAUUAUAUAUAUAUAUAUAUAUAUACAUACACACACACAUGUACACAUAGGAACUAGUAGGGAGCAAUAUAUGCAAAUCAGUGACAAUGUGAGCUGUUUAUCUAGAUGAUUCCACCAAGUGAAUAUGGGCUAAGGGGGAGAAAUAGUGGUAUUACGAGGAAUUCAGAAAGCUUCUUAAAGAGAAGUUUUAAGGUUAUGAAGGCCUAGGAUUCAGGGAGAAAGACUGGGCAUUCAGAACGGAGUAUUCAGCAGAAAGAAACACAAGGAUGUUCAGGGUAUGCAGCGGAGUAAGAGAAAAAUGAAGCAAUACAGGCAGGGAAUCGACGGAAGGACUUAAAUACUAUUUGCAGGAGUCAAUUCCAGACAGCGUCAUGACUUACAGUCUUGCGAGUUUUUAAACAGGCUUUAAAAGACGGAGUAUCCCACAGAAUCUAAUCGUCAGAAGACUAAAACAUAACAAGAACUUU
rnacentral:lncRNA from 1 species